rnacentral:misc_RNA from 1 species
GAGGCGGCUACUUCCGGAUCGCGUUCUCGCGGGAACAAGUCACGUUACAAACUCAAGCACACAGACAACAAUGUCGGUGCGACGACAGCGAUAUUUCACAACUUAUGUCAGGGUGCAGAAAUGGAAAGCUCUACAGGUGGAGGUACACCCGAUGUCCUCGGAGAAUACCGACUUGUCCUGGCACUUUGAAGACAGACAUUUCCAGGAGAUUUUGCAGUUGUUGCGGGGACCAAUUUUUGAAAGAGUGAAGUUGAAAAAACAUGAAAUAAAAAAAGACAUGGUCAAGUCGAAUAUCAUGACAGGGCCUACAGUCCGCCUUGGAUAUGAUUUUCGAGCUAAGCCGGAAUAUGAGACCUGCCUUCUGCCGAUAUCUCAGCCACUUUACACCAGCGAUAGUGAGGAAGAGCAGCAGGCUUGGACGUCCGGAUACCGCAGCCUCAGUCUGCACCAUGAGAAGCUGGUUGUGUACAGCUGUCUACUGAAGGAGAAGUCCAGUCACAGCAGCAUGGCCCAGAUCCUGUCUGCGAUGUCGACGGAGUGCAGCAGCAGCAGCAGUCAACAGCCACAGAAAGUCAGCAUCAGCAGCUACUUCCACAGAGUUGUCCCCCCUGGCGGCACACCAGCCAAGUCAUCACAGUCCAGUGCUUCAACACCAGGUGGCCCUAGGUCCCCCCCAGCAUGCACCACAGGCCAGGAUGAUGUGGCAACAGCCCUGCCCUCCGACACACGCAAGAGAAAACUAAAAAGCAUAAUCAAGCGAAGCGGACCCAAAUUGUCGAAGAAAGCUAAGAAAAUGAAGACGCUGAAAGACAUUUUGAAGCCAGGAAUCCCUUUAGAGUGUGCUGGAGGUAGUCUGGAGGACAAUGUUACAGGUGACAGUGAAUUCAGCAGAAUGUCAUUCUUCGGAGAUUUACCUGAAGCAGAUUGUCCAACUGUGGAUGAUAAUAAUACUCAACCAGAUCCAAGACGUGAAAUUAUUGACAGAAUUAAAGCAAACGCUACAGAACCAAAAGACUGCUCAGAAAUAGAAAUGUGUACAAGAUCAGAAAGUUACAAAAACCUGGAUUUGUUUUCAGAAGAUUCCCAUAAGAAAUGCAAAGUGACAUCUGUGUGUGGUGACAACGACAAUGUUCAGAUCAAUUCAAGUAACCAUGGUAACCGAUCAUAUGGCUCGGAGGACAUGUUUAUGGAACACUGUGAUGAAGAAACAGAGGAUGAAGUAAACAUCACUGAACUGAAGAAAGCUGAAUCUGAAUAUCAUACUGCAAAGGAGAAGAUGGACUCUGCAAUCUGUAAGCCUGUGUGUAGUCCACCACGUCCACAAUAUGACGUAACAUAUGACUCGGAGGGUAGUGAUUGUUGUAUGAUGCCAGAGAUUUCUUUACAGAGUGAACAAGUUCAAGUGUCUGUUACAGAUCACAUUCCUCACUCAAGAUCUGAACCUAUAUUUAAAGGUUCAGGGUUUAAACAUUUGAGAAUGGAUUUCAUUCAAAGAAGGCUUACUGUAGGCUCGAAUGAGACCUUACCAUCAGCAAGUUUUAUACAUGAGUUUGACCCCGAUACUCCCGAUGUGAAGUCAGGAAGAGUGGUGGCAGAAGGAAAUGGUGAUGAAGGCUGUACCAAGAGAAACAGAAACGUGGAAAUGGAGGGUACUGUGUCCGAUAAAAUAGAUUGUGAAGUCUUGCCGCAGAUAACUUUGAAGAAGCGAGACCGAAGCUGGAGAAAAUCCUUGGCGCUGUUGAUGAAAGAGAAGGACAGUCCCCAAGAAGUUGAGAAGGAAGUGAUUGACUGUGAUACCAUCGACUGUGAUCUGAUCGAGGUGCUGGAGGAACUCCCAAGGCAUCCCAUGAUCCUCACAGAGGACCUGAGACAGGAGCUGAGUCGAGUCAGGACCGAGUCGGAGCUGAGAGAGUCCCACAUUCAGAUGAUGGUGUUUGCCAGCGAGGGCUAUCUCCGAUCCAUCUUCACAGGCCAGGUGAUGAUCAUUUUCCUGUGAGGUGUCGAGGCUGAAUACAUGGAUUCAGUGCCGAAGACAUGAAGACUACAAGAGAGGUGGAAUAGCCAGGUUGAACCUCAACUAUCAGGUAAACCUCGGGAUGUUCUCUGAGCCUCAGCAGGAUGCUGUCAUGGAAACUCUAAUGGCAAUAUUUU